UAGGGAAUCUUCCACAAUGGGCGAAAGCCUGAUGGAGCAACGCCGCGUGUGUGAUGUAGGGUUUCGGCUCGUAAAACACUGUUGUAAGAGAAGAAUGACAUUGAGAGUAACUGUUCAAUGUGUGACGGUAUCUUACCAGAAAGGAACGGCUAAAUACGCGCCAG
rnacentral:rRNA from 1 species